UACGCCACACCCACAACGGUCUACAGCAGUGAUUAACAUUGAACAUAAGCGCCAGCUUGAUUCAGUUAAAGUAAAAAGGGCCGGCAAAUAUGGUGCCAGCCGCCGCGGUUACACCACAUGGCCCAAGUCGACUUCAUCACGGCGUAAAGCGUGAUUAAAGUGCUCUUCCCCCACUGUAGUUAAACUGUUAAUAAGCUGUUUAAUGCUUUUAACCAGGAAACCCAAAAACGAAAGUUACUACACACAAAACCACUUGAACUCACUAUAGUUAGGGCCCAAACUAGGAUUAGAUACCCUACUAUGCCUAACCUCAAACUCUUUACCUACAUAAUAACCGCCAGAGAACUACGAGCAAAGCUUAAAACUCAAAGGAUUUGACGGCACCCCACAUCCCCCUAGAGGAGCCUGUCCUUUAAAUCGACACUCCCCGUUUAACCUCACCAUUUCUAGCUAUCAGUCUGUAUACCUCCGUCGUCAGCUUACCGCGUGAGCG
rnacentral:rRNA from 1 species